CUUGAAGCUUGAGGGUGGAAUCCUAAAAAUUCUAAGUAAAUGUUUUACUAAAUUUUGAGGGAAACAAAUCUGCAUUACUUCAGUGCAUAAACUUUACUCUCUAUAACUGGAUAGACAUUAUUCUCCAUUGCAACUUUGUGUGCUUUAACAGCCCCAAAACACCACCCUCCCCCCUUUAUUAUUGUGCUACAAUAUAUUAAAACAAGAAUCAGGUACUCACUUUGUGCAUUAACAGGUUGCUCGGGUUUAGAUUUGGGUUUAUGGCUCAUUGUACUAGGCCUGAGAUGCCAUACAGAAUGUCCAUGUGAAACCAUAUGUCAGUGUAGUUUAAUAUGAAAUCAAUCAUAUCUAUGUUUUAUGCAUCUGUAAACACAAAGCAUAGACGGAGAGAUUUACACAAACCUUCAACGUUUACUGGUCAUGAUAAUUUUUUUAGUUGCAUAGCAACAUGGAAUGGUAUAGUUGUCAUUCAAGAUAUCCGACUUGUUUACAUCACAACUGCCACAGAUAAAACCUGAAAAAUAUAUAUGUACGCCUCCCCCAAACACAUCAGUUUAAAAAUAUAAGGGGCAGAACAGGACCAAAGCAGAGCUUUUAAUGCAUGGGCAAAAAUGCUGGAUUUUAUGUAACACCGUAACCUCUAUAUCUUUUAUAAUUGCCUCAUUAUACAUUUGAAAAAUAGUUACUUGCCUUCUACAAUAUUUAAUGGGUGCUCUAAGCGGCAAAGAUCACAAUCUGUAAAAACAUUUAUGUUGAUUUGUUUUUGUUUAUAAACCGCUUUGCCAUUUGCUAGACAAUGGAGUGUAUUUACUAAACUGUGAAGAAUUGACAGGAGAAUUGCAACUUUUAGGAC